UCAACAAUUUUGAGAGGAGCGUUGUUGGUGCGCUUUGUAAAUUCUAGUUGAUGCAAUAAAGUCAAGUUCAUUUGAUCUACGUCUUCGACUUUCAUCUACUAGUGAUUUUCUGGAUUCUGACGAUCUGAUCGGCGCUGGUGACUUUCUAGAUUUCGACGAUCUGAUCGGCGGCACAGGUGCGGUGAGAUAAAGGUAGCGGUGGCAUAAGGAGCGAGGCGAUCAAGAUAUUCUUCGACAGAGGGACAUGCUAGAGGCAAGAUGUUCUCCUUUUUCUGGAAGGGUUUACAUAGUAUUAAAGCUUGGGUUUUGAGAGGUGCUACUGAAGUAAAGUGGAAGAAGUUGUUGAAGGAGGACGAGGUGGUGAUUCUGGACUGUUGGACUGCAGCGCUUCAAUGUUCAGUGAGAAGUCUCCGAAAUGCAAGAUCAGGGGGGUGAAGCUGUAGGCUGUGUGGGGUGGCCUUGGCGUUUUGUGCUGUUAACUGAGAUAGUUAGAGUUGGUUUGUGGGGUUGGUUUUUCAAGUGUCUGUUGUAAUUCUGGGUUCAGGCGAGCGAAGCGUUUGGUUAGGCUUAGUUUCUUUAGACCUUUUGUCCUUCUAGUGUGUUUUGUUCCUGUUCUGGCAAGCCGGUGUCCCCGGUAUACCUUGUGACCUGUUUUUUUCGCUUUACUGAAAAGCUGGGCC